UCACAGAUUUUUUCCUACUGAAGUUUGGUCAAGAAUAUCGGUAACCACGUCAACAGUUGGGAUUUGAAUGCGGCGUCAUGAUCCGUCCUUCACCAGCUGAAAUUUUCUUCAACCUUUGGAAUUUGCAACUCUACGCAAUUGAUUUUUGCUUGUAAAAUGAAUGCAAAACGAUGAUUCUCAAAGGCGCAAAAUUCAGGAUUUCUUCACUCCAUGCCAAACCUAGAUUCUCGCACUUCACAGAUUUUUUCUUACUGAAGUUUUGUCAAGUAUAUCGCUAAUCACGUCAACAGUUGCGAUUUGAAUGCGGCGUCAUGAUCCGUCCUUUACCAGCUGAAAUUUUCUUCAACCUUUGAAAUUUGCAACUCUACGCAAUUGAUUUUUGCUCGUAAAAUGAAUGCAAAACGAUGAUUCUCUAAGGCGCAAGAUUCAGGAUUUCUUCACUCCAUGCCAAACCUAGAUUCUCGCACUUCACAGAUUUUUUCUUACUGAAGUUUUGUCAAGUAUAUCGCUAAUCACGUUAACCGUUGCGAUUUGAAUGCGUUCCUUCGUUCGGAUGGAUUUUGGAUCUAUGCCUAUUGAAAUAUUUGAAGAAAAAUGCCAUGUCCAAGCCUAUUGAAAUAUUUGAAGAAAAAUGCCAUGUCCAACAUGAGCCUCACCAUCAGUAUUUCGGCCUAAUGUUUUUUUUCAUAGAAGUCGACAGUCUCCAGUCUGCGACGCAAAGAUUUACUUCUUGGCGCAUGAUAAAUUGGAGUCUAUAUGAAGAUCUGUGCCUUAGAAUUUAUUGUAAUAAUUAUAUUUUUUCCGCUCUCACCGAUAAGAUCAAAGUCAGUGACAGGAAAUGUUCGAACAUAGCCGGAUCGCGCCCUUGCGUCCGCCUCUUAGAAAAUUGGAGUACGCAAUUUUUUUUCAUAUCGAUUCCUUGAAGAAUCCACGAAUUUCAGUCUGAAUAACUCAAGGCUUUUGCCCUCAGCCUUCUUUUCGAACAUGUGCUUUAUCAAAGCCCAAUGACGCACGAAGCUCAACCGAAACCUAGCCCAGUGAAUUGAAAUCAAGGCAAAUGCCCUCCUUUUUUGGAUACGGACCUCUGCUCAGUGACUUUCGUCAGAAAAUUUCUGCGACGCCUCAAUUUUAGAAAUUGGUCAACGACCUUGGACGUAUUAUUCAUCAUUCAAGUUAGGCUGGCGGCGUCGGCGUUUACCGCCGUGGACAACGGACAACAUUUCAUCAACGGUUAAAUGAGCGUUCUACGCCUGCUACAACGCUACCAACCCGGUGAGCAUGUCUAAUGCUCCGUGGGUGUUGAAACUCAAUUAAUCCGCAGAUAGAAUCGACGAUAGGAGUGGAGUGCCUGAGCAGCCCCUUUUGCCAGAAGCAGCUUUAUUCAGAUGUGCCAGCCAUUCGGAACCAGGGCUGUGCCUUUCUUCAAACAGAUGACAGCGAUGGAUCGAGAAAAACACCCGAGUAGUACACUGAAGAUGGGGAAAA